UCUCUCUUAGCUCAGUUGGCAGAGCAUUAGUUUCCCAAACUAAAGGUCGCGGGUUCGAGCCCCGCAGGGAGAG
rnacentral:tRNA from 1 species